UCAUCUAAAAUCGAAAACCUAUAACAAAAAAGGAUCAAGCCAAACUCAUAUGACAAUCUUACAUUGACUUGUUUUACUUCUCAUGGCCAACACCCUGGCCAUGAGUAUCAACCGAGGAAGGGAUACCUGGAUUGUUGAUAAGUUGACUACCAUCUGGAGUAUAAGCCCCAUUUCUGAGUAUUUGACAAGCUUUAUUCAAGAUUAAAAUUAGCACUAUUAUCUCAUUUGAUUGGAGCAACUCAAUUGGGGUGGUCAUCAAGUUGUAGAACUGCCUCCACUCAUCGAGCCCUGAUAUUGAUUUCUUGCCG
rnacentral:lncRNA from 1 species